UUAUCCUGGGUUCCUGAACUAGCUUUUUGGAGCCCAUUCCCUACAGUAGGAUACCUUGCCUCAACCUUGAUACAGAGGGGAGGGGCUUGGUCCUGCCUCAACUUAGUACGCCAGACUUAGCUGACUCCACAAGAGAGGCCUUACCCACUCUGAGGAACAGAUGCAGGGAGGGGUUGGAUGGCGGAGAAUGGAGUUGCUCUUGGUUCAAUGAAGAAAGCUGGUUGGUGGUCUGUUCCCUCCUAUUCCUGGCUCCUAACAUGAGUUGGACUACAACAUGGAACCCUGUUGCCCUGCAGAAGGUUCUCAUCUGAGAUGAUGGUGGCUUGGGACAAGGAGGACACUUCCUGCUAUUCUAAUCCCAGGUCACAAGACACAUUCAACAGUGCCAGACAACUUACUCCUCCCAGAAUGGCUUUGACGACUUCCUCACUGCUGGAGACUCCCCAGAGGAGCGUACAGGUCUAGAAGAGACAGAAAAAUACUCAAGAUAUGUCAAAUCACAGUCAACAUUCCUACAGCCCUGUUUCUAAGCUCUCUUCCAUUUUCAAGCCAUACUAGAAAUUCCUUUUUAUUUUGGGGAGCGAGGAGAAUAGAUGCUGGACACUGAACCCUGCGCCUGUGUACACUAAGCACACUAUGGUACUGACCUGCUUCCAGUCCUGAAAGAAAUUCUGCUGCUACCUUACUUUGUGAUUUUAAGACCUCAUUUACUGCCAGACAUGUACUCAAGGCUUCAAGAAAAUGAGUUAUUUAAAGGACUGAAGGCAGAGCUGAGAAGCCCGACUAUCUCAUGGCAGAAACGUGUAUCUGUGCCAUAAAAAGCAGAAGGCAUCUCAGGAGUAGCUGGUGCCAGCAGGAGCUGACUCACAAAGCAAUCCCACCAACUGGCAGACUGACUCAAUGGGAACAACUGCAGUAGUAGUCAAUGGAGGUGGGAAGCCACAGAGAACAAGACAAGAAAACGCUACAGUGUGGGGGCAGUGACUACGUAACACUUCCUCUCCACCAUAAUCUUUUAGCUUAUGAGUCAUAUUGCCAACAAAAAAACCAAAGAUACCCACAUCAAUAAAUCAAUGAAAAAUAUUAUCAAC